UUGCUAUGAUGACACCUCAGUUUAUUGAUGGUAUUUAGAGAAUGCUUGAUGAUACUUCGGCAGUCUUGUCGAACUGAGCGGUUAACUGAGCAA